UGGCUAUCGCAACCAUGCGUGGUUUUACAUCAUGGUAUAGUGCAACGAAUCGAUUAUUUGCGAAAUGCGCGUCAUUACGGCGCUCUUCCUUUUGUGGAUGAGCAAGGAUGGAUGCUUCGACUUUGCACCCAACGUGUUCCCAAAAGUAUCCAAAGGACUCGGUGACAGUUUUUAUCAAGACUCAUGGAAACCACCAACACCCUGGUUCAAUUUCGAAAAUUUCACCAGACGACGAAGAGAGGUGGAGGCCAAGUCAGUCAGACAAAGGAACUUAAAUCGCCGCAUCGCUGGAAGACUUAAUAGACGUGACACGGUCAUCGACACUGAGGACGACCUGACCGUGGCGUCGGCAGCAGUGGGUCCCGUGUCCUCCGGCAACCUCAAACCGGU